UACGAAGGGUGCAAGCGUUGUUCGGAAUUAUUGGGCGUAAAGCGCACGUAGGCGGCCUUGUAAGUCUCACUGUGAAAGUCCGGGGCUCAACCCCGGGAAUGCCAGGGGGAUACCGUGCGAGGCUUGAGAGCAAGUAGAGGUUGGUAGAAUUCCGGGUGUAGGCGGUGGAAUGCGUAGAGAUCCGGAGGAAUACCAGACGGCGAAGGCGGCCAACUGGGCUUGUUCUGACGCUGAG
rnacentral:rRNA from 1 species